AACAUCUGGUGCCGGAGGAGUAUUCUGAGUUUGCGGGAAGAGGACACAAUAGCAGUUUGGAGUAACCAUCGUGUUUAGUGUCUUCUAUGAAACAUCUUUGUUUUGUUCCAAAGAGGAUGCUCAGGAAGCUGAGUUGACUCUGUCCUUAUGUUCAGCGCGGUCUUAUUAAUCCACGUGUCAUCAGUGCCUGAAGAGGACUCACUGAGUCCAACAUGGUCAUUUAUAUGCGGGGAAACUGAGGCAAAGAAAGGGCCAAAAUCUUGCUCAAGGUCACAUAAAAAAAUCCAAGGUAGGCCCGUGAGCUAUUCUGAUAAGAAUCAGAAAUCGCAUUUGAUCCGCUGAUUGUGAAUCUAGAAUCUUUGGGAAGGGGGAAGGCUACAGUAGAGGAUGAAGAAAAUGGCUGCUGUGAGACAGCAGCCUGGGGCUUCCUGCAAGCCAUGGGGACAAGACGAAACAGCCCUGGGAGAGGCCUGCAGAGUGGAGACCGGCCAGCUUCCAAACGGAAAACUUGAGAACUGUGACUACUGUGAGAGUCAAUGAAAAUUCCAAAAUAGGACUCAAUAGGCUUGGGCUCUUACUAGGCAGGCGCUUAAAUGUCAGGCUCCCUCCCUACUAACGUCAAGAAGAAGAAUCUCCAAAUGCCUUCCACCUCCAGGAGUUCCAUUUUCAGCGUAAAUUUCCACUGCAUUUGAGUUCCUCGUCAACUUUGCCUCACAUUCCUCCCUGAGGUUUAGCCCUUCAGGUGAGAGAUUAAGUUGAGCUGAAAAAUUAGGUCAGGGCUUCCUACUGCAGAUGUUCUCCAGAGACGCAACCUGGAGUGAUGACCAUCGGCUGACUCAAAACCCUGGCCCGUCACGGUGUUUCUCUUCUACUUAGUCAUGAGAGUCUGAGCACCUGGUCUCUGCAUCCCACGGCUCCCUUUGUCCUAAGGGCCUUCCAGAAGGAUUGGAGAGCUCUCGACAGCUGUGAAACAUCUAGAGGAAGCUGCAUUGGAUGUCUCAGAUGGUCUUCAGCUGAAAUCCCAAAGAAGUAGACUCUAAUGCCAGUGAAAGAAUGGACUUGCUAGCUAUCAAGAACAAUCAGACAAAGAACAAGAGCUUCCUUCUGCUAUGUCCUUAUAUAGGCUUCCAGCAAGAGGUGCGGCCUGGAUCAAGA